rnacentral:rRNA from 1 species
UACGUAGGGCGCAAGCGUUGUCCGGAAUUAUUGGGCGUAAAGAGCUCGUAGGCGGUUUGUCACGUCGGGUGUGAAAGCCCGGGGCUUAACCCCGGGUCUGCAUUCGAUACGGGCAGACUAGAGUGUGGUAGGGGAGAUCGGAAUUCCUGGUGUAGCGGUGGAAUGCGUAGAGAUCGGGAAGAACAUCAGUGGCGAAGGCGGCCUGCUGGGCUGUUGCUGACGCUGAGGCGCGACAGCGUGGGGGAGCAAACAGG